rnacentral:rRNA from 1 species
UACGUCUGGGGUAGGGGUAAAAUCCUGUAAUCCUAGAAGGACCACCGGUGGCGAAGGCGUCUCACUAGAACGAAUCCGACGGUGAGGGACGAAGCCCUGGGGCGCAAACGGGAUUAGAUACCCCGGUAGUCCAGGGUGUAAACGCUGCGGGCUUGGUGUUGGGGGUCCUUUGAGGGCGCCCAGUGCCGGAGAGAAGUUGUUAAGCCUGCUGCUUGGGGAGUACGUCCGCAAGGAUGAAACUUAAAGGAAU